rnacentral:rRNA from 1 species
AUGCCCUCCCUCUAUAUCCCUGCCUCUCUGUGCGCUGCUUCUUAUCCAUCCCCGUGCGGCCGUGCCCCAUGGCUUCUACCGGCAGCUGCAAGGGAUGGCCGGAGAGCGCACUACUGCGGGAGCCGAUCGAAUACGCCGCUGCUGCACCGCCACACGUCUCUGGCUGCUAGUAGCAGGGAGACGACGAACUACACAAGCAGCAGAGCAACGAGCGAGAUCGACGAGCCUGACGACAACGGCAAGCUGGAGUCUCCCCCGACGAGCUCGACGAGGAAUAGGACGACGGCGAUGUCUCGGAGCAGCACGGUCGACCUCGGCGCCCUCCUGCCCGGCGUAGCCCCACUAGCAAAACCCAAGAUGCUGUCCAACCAAGUUUGUGUAUCCACAUUGCUUCUGAUGGCAUUGAAAGCUUCUACAAAGGCUUCCUCUUCCUCAUACUUUUACAUGCAAGCGCUGAAAUCAGCAAGUACAUUUGGUCCCUCCUCGUCUUUUUUCUUAUGA